rnacentral:lncRNA from 1 species
AAAAAAAAUUAAAAAACAACAACAACACAAUAGAGGGUGAAAAAUAAUAAAGUGGGAGUGUGCAAAGAAAAGAGAGUUCAAGGUCCACUCUCUUCUAAAACCCUAAUCCAUAAUAAAUUAAAUAGAAAUAAAAGAAAAAUGAAUAAACAAUAAGAGGGAGGCGAUGUAUUUUGGAAAGAGAGAGAGCAACAUUUUUUUUAAUUUC